UAUUAACCCACAAUAUUUACCAUUGACUUAUAAUCUUUUGCCUUGAAGUCUUUAAUCCUUCUAGAGAUUUCCUUGUAUAUAUACUCUGCUCUGACUGCCUCCAUGAUUUCCUUAUUAUCUUUGAUACACAGAAGUUUGAAUGUCAUCUAUCUAGGGAGCAGCUGGAUAGCAAAGCCUCAAGCCCAUGGAAAACAUUUAUAAACCUCCAUGACAAGCCAUCUCCACAAACCCCGAAAUAGAACUGGUGACAAAUCCCCAACAGCUACAAGACCUGCAUGGUAGUAACAUCUGUGUGAAAAGAAGACAGAAGUAAUGGGGCAGUGUCAAUGAAGGAUCUGAGAAGAGAGAAUUCCAAAGAGCUGACAAUAGUUCACCGGCAAGCACAGUGGACAUCUUUGGAAACAGCUGAUGAAACUGGGAGGGGCUUUGUUCAGCCCAGUGUUGGGUGACUGCGAGGAGUGCCUGGUAGACUAUGAAGGGGCUGGCAUUGUCCAGACCCUGUGAACUUUGAAAAGGACCUGCACAGGUUUGUUUCUAGGGCAGAGUCCCACAUUGAGGAGAGAUUGCCAGGAGUGGAGGCAAAAUUGAGCCGGGCGGGGGCAACAUGGAUGAAGAAAGAGAGGGCCAGGUAAAAGUAGGGCAAUGAGAAUAGAGCCGGGACAUUUUAAGGGACUAUUUUAUUUUUAAAUAAUGCAUAAAACCAUGGACUAUGGGGCAGUUUGAACUUAUACAGUUUAUCAUGAACGAUGUUUCCUUCUAAAAAUUCAGGAAAACAAAAUUCACAUAAAAUUAGUAUAGGAAAAGAUCAC
ensembl:lncRNA novel transcript